rnacentral:ribozyme from 1 species
AGUUCAAAACACACACCACCACACACACACCAAAAACCAAAAAACCCAAGAGAGAGAGAGAAACAAAGGGGAAAAGGGAAAUCUUUUUUUCUUUUUCUUUUUCUUUUGGUUUGUUUUUUUUGGUUUCUUUUUUGGCUCAAAAUCAAAUCGAAACGAAAAGGGAGGUCAUAUUUCUUUUCAAAGGGCAAAAA